UGCGGCACCUGCCUCGUUCGACGACAACAAAGAGGAGAGGAUAGCAACAAAGGACCAAAGUUGCGGGCCCCAGGAAAGAGGUACAUACAGCAGCACUGGUGAAGCAACGUCUGGUGCUACAAUAAUGGUGCCACAGUAUCGUGAACAUGUACAUGUGUGCAUACAUGGACAAGCAAUGAUAAUGGCAACCUGUUUCCGGUAAAAUGGCUCAUGAUACUCUGGCAUGUCAUGGAUAUUUGGAUCAUAACGUUGCUUCACAUAUUCAUGAGCAUCAAAGUCACCAUGCAAGAUGUGCACAUCAAGACAUUGGGAAGCUGCUUUGGCCCCACGAAGGUGAUUUACAGUAUUUCAAGCUAGCAGCGAUUACUAAGCAACUGUCCUGCAUUCCUCACUUACAGGAACUGGAACAUUCGAAGUGUUGUAGGGGAUAGUGGGUGUACUUCCCCUUCUGAAGGACAUCCCGCCAUUGUGUGCACUAAAAGUUUCCUUGUCUCAGUGCUGUUACUCGGUCAUGUAUCAAAGUAUGUCAUGGUUAUGUCCAGGGGCUUUCUGGUGCUCUGCUCGAUCUCUGUGGACGAUAGCUGUUCAUGAGCCCCCGAACAGAAGGAAGAGACU